AAAACAUAAGUUUAAUCAAACUCAAUUUUCUGUUUGAUGAUGUAUCAGUCAGAAUCUAUCAACCAACGGGAACGAAUGAUCGUGCUGUUAUGCGAGCCUGGAUGAACAUUGACAUGACGGAUAUUGUUCACUUCAAUUUUAUUUUUAUUUACUAUCUAAAAACUCUGUUAUUUAUUAAAGGACCCUGUAUUUUGUAGAGGAAGUCAAAGUUGGAAAUUUGAAACGGUAGAUGAAACUUGGAGAAAUAAUUGAAAUUUGCAAGUUACAGACACCGAGAUGGCAAGCCAAGACCCAGAAGAAUCCAAGAAAUUGGAUUGCUCCAUAUGUCAUGAUCUGCCAGAAGAUCCAAAACUUCUUUCGUGUGGACAUACAUUUUGUAAGAAAUGCUUGUCCCUUGUAUUAAAGUCUCAAAUGAAAGACGCGGAGCUGUCUUGCCCAGAUUGUUUGAAGAUUAGUACCAUCAAUGACAGUGAUGUUUCUACAUUAGAAAUCAACACCGAACUUGAGGCAAAAUUGGAAGCUAUGAUGAGCGCGGAGAAGCUUUGUUCUGUAUGCGAAGAGGGGGAGGAAUCUACGGCUGUGGCAUAUUGCCAAACCUGUCAGGAUCAUCUGUGUGAAGAUUGUCUGGAUGUCCACAGGAAAUGGAAGAAAAACGCAAAACACGAAGUGGUGAACGUUGAUGACAUCAAGACCGGUGGAGUUAAGGUCAAAGAGACUUGUCCUAAGCAUCCAUCAAAUGAACGAGAAUGCAUCUGCACUUCCUGUAAAGUAGCAAUCUGCCUAAGGUGCCGUAUGGAGAACCACUCUGGGCCUGACCAUCGUGUCGAGGAAGUGCCCGAGUUCUUGAUGAGAAUUAAAUCUGAUAUCGGAACUCUUCUGGAGAAAACCCAACAGAAGAUAGCAAUAGUCGAGAACCACGUGAAGGUCGUGGAUGAAGAAUCAACAAAGGUUGAUGAAAUCAUUGAUGAAAGGAUAGUGAGCAUCAACGAAAUGUUUGAGGAGAGUCUAACAGCGCUGUUGGAGAAAAAGACAAAGCUGAUAGACAUGUGCAAGGGACAUAGAGAAGUUCUCAUGGCUGAACUGCAACACGCAAGAGACAGCGAUGUCCAGUUGAUAGAUGGCUAUAAGAGCGCUUCUGAAUUAGUCAACAAUGGAGCCAAGGUUCUGCUGGAGGGCCAGGCUCUUAGUGUUCACAAUAACAUCACAGCUGAUUUGCAGAAACUGUUGAAACAUCGUGAACCGAGCGACGAACAAGCGACGAACAUCACAAAGAGGGCAGCGAAUGUUGAAUUGAGGCUCUAUCGAGAUAAGCUGGGUCUAGGUGAAGUAAUCUUGAACAACUGGACUAUGGACAAGAUAAACGAUUUUCCUCUAUCUGGAUCAGAUGUGUAUGACCUUGUACCUGUACUUGAUGGCAAAAUGGCCGUUGGGUAUUUGGGUGGUGGUGUUGAGCUCUUCACGGUAGACGGACCACAGGAAAUGGUGCGAACGCCGACCAAGCUCAUGUACAGGCCUUCCACGCAAGGUGGUAGAAGGUCCUCAAAGACAGUACUCCACGAUGAAAAUGUUGGGCAUGUGGCUGUCCUGUCCGAUGGUCGCUUCGUGGUGCAAAACGAGAAGCAUGUCAUAUCCCUCUACACACGUGAAUGGAAGAAAGAGGAUGUAGAAUUCGAGACGCUCCGUGAAGACGGUUUUGGAGGCCUGGGUGUGGACGUGGAGGAUCACAUCUACGUCGGUUACUGGUCAGCUAAGAAGAUCUUGGUGUUCAAUCCAGAGGGCGGGGCACCUAUCAAUGAGCUUGCUUGUCACGACUAUGAACCAGUCGAGAUCUGUCCUAUGCGUCACUGCAAGAUGUUGGUGGUUCGUGAUCUUCUCACAGUCAGGGUUGUCGAUGAUAAGGGCAGGGUGAAACACGAGGUCGACAGACGUUUCAUCUCGGGUCGGAUGGCCGUUCUACGGGAUGACAAUAUUCUCAUAGGUUGGGUGAAGGAUGAAGGUGUGCUCUGUGUUGAGAUGUACAGUCACCAUCUCAAGUACGUGAACACCGUCCUUUCCGACUUCCCAUUCAAUGGGGAGUUUCGUAUGAUGAGAGAAUUUUCCAGCGGUGAGAUCGCCAUUUGUGACAACACAAGCUUCUACGUGUUUCUCAAGAAAAAAUGAGUUUUACCAGUUUCAUUCCGAAAAUUAUUUCUUCUUCCAUGCUGCUAGUUAAGAAUAAGAAUAUUAAUUUUGUUCAUUUGUUUGUGUCUGCAUGUCUCUGUUCAGAUAAGUCAGAAGGGGUUCAUUUGGUUGGUAACGAUUGGAAACUGGCAGGUCUAAUGUUCAGUGAAAAGUUCAUUCAUAAAAAAACUCCAUUUGUUUUCAUUGAAAUUAUCCCAGUCAUUAAUUUUGUGCAUCCUAGUUGUAGAAUAUUUCAUCAGUGAAAUAAAAAGUAUAUAGUAGCUCCUUAGUUAGCUCGGUAUAUUAAAUAGAAACAGACAUUCAGCUUUACUCUUUUAAAUUCAUAAUUAACCAAAUAUAGAUAAGUAGAAAAAGAUUGAGCUAUAGAUGAAACGACAGAUAUUGAAAAAGUAUAUCAUGAUACUUUGAAAUGUCGACCUAUCAUUUUAGAUGGAAGUUUUCAACAUGCAGGUUACAUUAUUUCGUAGGUAUUUAUGGUAGGAAGUGAGCUUACCUUAUUUAAACCAAUUCAAAAAAAUCAAAAGAAAAUUUGUUUCAAAUAGAAAAAGGCAAGUACAGUAGAUUACAUUAGCCACAGUUAUUAUUGUUCUUUGAUAGAGCACGUCCAUCAUCAUCACAUCCAAUCCUGUAAACCAAGAAAUAGAAUUAAUUUACUAAGAAAUUUAUGAAAAUCGGUGUUCUCUUGAAUUUCCUAUUCAAUGGUACAAAAAAAAUCACAGAAAUAGGAACACACGAGUUAAAAUGGUUAGAAUGGUAGAUUUCUUGUCCCCCCCCAAAAAAAAUAAGAAGAUUCUUAUUUAAUAUUGGCAGUUAUAUGCCAUCAUCACCACCAUCACCAUUACCACAUCAACACCAUCAUUAUCAUCAUCACCACCAUAAUCAUCAGUUACCACCAUCAUCAUCAUCAUCAUGUGUCACCACCAUCAUCAUCAUCACCAUUACCGCCACCAUCAUCAUCAGUGUCACCACUCACCACCAUCAAGAUCAUCACCAUCAUCAUCACCACGACCAUCAUUUUCAUUAUAAUCAACAUCAUCAUCACCAUCACCGUCAUCAUCACCACCACCAUCAUUUUCAUCAUAAUCACCAUCAUAAUCAUUACAAUCAUCAUCAUCAACAUCUCCACCAUAAUUACCAUCAUCAUCACUAUCCACUGCGUCUGCAUGACAGGUUCAAUGACCCUGACAGAUUCAACAUCGUCGAGUCAUCCGUUUGUGCAUUUCAUAUUGCUCCACAUUAUGUGAUUGAAUCAAAGCAUAUACGAAUUCUCAUCUUCUUUCCAAGUGACAAGCCUUCUAUGGCAGCCUAUCACACAUCCAUGCUUCUGAAUUUUCCCUACUUUUCUAUGGGAUGGACAGUCAUUUUGACUAUUGUUUUGAGUAAGAUGAACAGUAAUAGACAGUCGAUAGUAUUUUACAUCAUGUGGAGAUCAAUUAUAUUUUUUCUUGGCUGCAUUGCAUACCAGUAAAUAAAUUUAUGGUGGCUUA